rnacentral:sRNA from 1 species
GAAUGUGCGAUUCCUCACCAUUCACCUCCCUCCGGCAAUCAUCGGCUACAAAGAAGGAGGCUCAGGGCGAACAGCCUCACUCCAUAAAUACAUUCAAGAUGACUGCUGAAACUCCAUAUUGGCCGCCAGUUGUGUUUUCCUUAAGCCUAAGUAAAAUUUGUACUCAAGCUUCCUUCAGCAUACAUUAAAUUCUUUUAUUUAUGAGACUAAGAACCCUGAGAUGGCAUCUGAAUCUCCCUGUUGUUGCUAGAGUUUCCGUCCAGGCUUCUCUUGAUGACGUCAGGACUGUUACCCGGAAGCGGAAACGGAAAUAAAC